UCCCCGGUGGUCCAGUGGUUAGGACUCCAUGUUUUCAAUGCUGAGGGCACAGGUUCAAACCCUGGUUGGGGAA
rnacentral:tRNA from 1 species